rnacentral:lncRNA from 1 species
AAAAGACCCUGGGGGUGCAUCCCCUAUCCCUGUGCAACAGCCCCAAACCCCAGGGGACACACGGGGGACAAGCCCCACCCCCGCCUCAAAAGAGAGGGGACCAAGGGGACGUUUGACAGUCAUCGAUCGCCCCCACAUGUCCCCCGGCUCCCGCAGAGGCUUUAAUCAGCGAGCAGAAAUCAAUUAGCUGCCUUUAAGGAGGCAAUUAUUCCUGGGGGCUUUACAAGGCUGGGAAGGGGGAGAGUAUUUGGGGGUGGGGGUGCUGCCAGCUCCGUAUCCCCCCCUCAAAGUUGUCACCAUUAUGUCACCAGCUGUCUCCCUGGUUCUUUUCGCCAUCAUUUUUGUCGCCCCCCCCUCCACACCCCCCUAUUCCUCGUUAUCUUUCUGUUUUAACAAGCGCCUAAAAAUACGCCUGACGAGGUCACGGGCUGCGUGAGUCACCAGCAGCUCAGGGAUGGCGUGGCCCGGGUGGGCAGGGGGCUUUGCGUGGGGACAGGGUGGCCAUGGAGGGGACACAGAGGGAGGACAGGCUCACGCUGGUUGCUUGACUCACCUAGAGGGUCAGGGGACAUCCCCGGUCCUGGCUACUGCAUCCUUGUGGCAGGGACACAGCCCCAGGUCACCUUGUCGCCACAGGACAUCGCGUCCCUUUGGCAUAGCCACCACCCCAGGCCACUGCAUCACUCUGGGCCACUCUGUCCCCAUGGCAAGGCCACCACCCUUGGCCACCACCAGGACAGCCUCAGCACUGCUGUGGGACAGCAGCACUGUAUGGAUGGGCACAGUACCCCAGGUGACACCGGCUGGAGCCCCCGAGGUGCUCCCUGUCCCUGUCCCCAAGCCCUGCACAGGGAGGGGGAGCAGUGCAGCCCCUCAAAGCAGCUCCAUCCACCUGGGCACAGGGAAGGGAUGGACAAAGCUCCAAAGGGCCACGUUUGGGAGUGCAGGAGUCGGGAAAGGGACAAAGGUGGGAGGUGGCAGCAGCAGCGGCUGCCGUGGUUGUGAUGGCAGCAGUGAUGGCAGCAGUGAUUCCAGUGACAGCAGUGACUCCGGUGGUAGUUGUGGUGGCCACAAUGGUGGCAGUGGCUGUUGCAGUGGUGGCUGUAGCGGUGACAGCAGUGGAUGUCACAGCUGCAGUGGUGGCUGCAGUGAUGGUGAUGGCAGUAGCAGCUGUGGUGGCAGCAGUGGUUGCAGUGGCUGUGGUGGCAGCAGUUGUUGCGGUGGUGGUUGCGGUGGUUGCAAUUGCUGCAGUUGUUGCAGUGGUGGCUGCAGUUGUUGCAGUGGUUGCAGUUGUUGCGGUUGUUGCAGUGACAGCGGUGGCUGCAGCUGUUGUGGCAGUGGUUGCAGUUGUGGUGGUUGCAGUGGUUGCGGUUGUUGCAGUUGUUGCGGUUGUUGCAGUUGUUGCGGUUGUUGCAGUUGUGGUUGCAGUGGUUGCAGUGGUUGCAGUGGUUGCAGUUGUGGUGGUGGUGGUUGCGGUUGUUGCAGUUGUUGCGGUUGUUGUUGCGGUUGUUGCGGUUGUUGC